rnacentral:rRNA from 1 species
GUGGGGAAUAUUGGACAAUGGGCGAAAGCCUGAUCCAGCCAUGCCGCGUGUGUGAAGAAGGUCUUCGGAUUGUAAAGCACUUUAAGUUGGGAGGAAGGGCAGUAAGUUAAUACCUUGCUGUUUUGACGUUACCAAUAGAAUAAGCACCGGCUAACUUCGUGCCAGCAGCCGCGGUAAUACGAAGGGUGCAAGCGUUAAUCGGAAUUACUGGGCGUAAAGCGCGCGUAGGUGGUUUUGUAAGUUGGAGGUGAAAUCCCCGGGCUCAACCUGGGAACUGCCUCCAAAACUGCAUGACUAGAGUACGGUAGAGGGUAGUGGAAUUUCCUGUGUAGCGGUGAAAUGCGUAGAUAUAGGAAGGAACACCAGUGGAGAAGGCGACUACCUGGACUGAUACUGACACUGAGGUGCGAAAGCGUGGGGAGCAAACAGGAUUAGAAACCCUUGUAGUCC